AUCGAACGCUGGCGGAAUGCUUUACACAUGCAAGUCGAACGGCAGCACGGACUUCGGUCUGGUGGCGAGUGGCGAACGGGUGAGUAAUGUAUCGGAACGUGCCCAGUCGUGGGGGAUAACGUAGUGAAAAUUACGCUAAUACCGCAUACGAUCUAUGGAUGAAAGCGGGGGAUCGCAAGACCUCGCGCGAUUGGAGCGGCCGAUAUCAGAUUAGGUAGGUGGUGGGGUAAAGGCCCACCAAGCCAACGAUCUGUAGCCGGUCUGAGAGGACGACCAGCCACACUGGAACUGAGACACGGUCCAGACUCCUACGGGAGGCAGCAGUGGGGAAUUUUGGACAAUGGGCGAAAGCCUGAUCCAGCCAUUCCGCGUGCAGGAUGAAGGCCCUCGGGUUGUAAACUGCUUUUGUACAGAACGAAAAGGUUUCUACUAAUACUAGGAGCUCAUGACGGUACUGUAAGAAUAAGCACCGGCUAACUACGUGCCAGCCGCCGCCGUAA
rnacentral:rRNA from 1 species